rnacentral:rRNA from 1 species
GAUGAACGCUGGCGGCGUGCCUAAUACAUGCAAGUCGAGCGAACAGACGAGGAGCUUGCUCCUCUGACGUUAGCGGCGGACGGGUGAGUAACACGUGGAUAACCUACCUAUAAGACUGGGAUAACUUCGGGAAACCGGAGCUAAUACCGGAUAAUAUAUUGAACCGCACGGUUCAAUAGUGAAAGACGGUUUUGCUGUCACUUAUAGAUGGAUCCGCGCCGCAUUAGCUAGUUGGUAAGGUAACGGCUUACCAAGGCAACGAUGCGUAGCCGACCUGAGAGGGUGAUCGGCCACACUGGUACUGAGACACGGUCCAGACUCCUACGGGAGGCAGCAGUAGGGAAUCUUCCGCAAUGGGCGAAAGCCUGACGGAGCAACGCCGCGUGAGUGAUGAAGGUCUUCGGAUCGUAAAACUCUGUUAUUAGGGAAGAACAAAUGUGUAAGUAACUAUGCACGUCUUGACGGUACCUAAUCAGAAAGCCACGGCUAACUACGUG